GAGAAGGUGUGAUGGAGAGAUGAGUAGGUAGGGAAAGCCAUUUACAGGUGGGUAUAAUUAUACUUGGAAAAGCAAUCAUCUUGAAUAUAGAACGGAGAAGAGAAGAGAAUAUUGAAUGGAUUUUGUUGAGUCGUUGUAUCGGAGAGGCUUUAGGAACGAGAAGCUUAUCGGAGAUGUCUUCCAGUUCAGCUAUGGGAGGUGUUGAUCUCAUGUAGUUUGAAGGGAUGAUCCUUCUUGUACUCCUGCUACAGCUACUGUUACUUUGAAGGGUGAUGAGUUCUUGGCGUUUCAUUCUUUAAAGAAAGAAAGAAUUCAGGAUCACCUGGAGAUGGAGAUGAUUUCUUGUUUCUUGAUGAAGAAAGAGAGGUAGAGAGAAAGAGAGGAGAAGAUGGGGUUGAAGAGGGGCCCGACAAGGUGAUGAUGGUGUUUG
rnacentral:misc_RNA from 1 species